rnacentral:rRNA from 1 species
GACGAACGCUGGCGGCGUGCUUAACACAUGCAAGUCGAACGGAAAGGCCCUGCUUUUGUGGGGUGCUCGAGUGGCGAACGGGUGAGUAACACGUGAGUAACCUGCCCUUGACUUUGGGAUAACUUCAGGAAACUGGGGCUAAUACCGGAUAGGAGCUCCUGCUGCAUGGUGGGGGUUGGAAAGUUUCGUCGGUUGGGGAUGGACUCGCGGCUUAUCAGCUUGUUGGUGGGGUAGUGGCUUACCAAGGCUUUGACGGGUAGCCGGCCUGAGAGGGUGACCGGCCACAUUGGGACUGAGAUACGGCCCAGACUCCUACGGGAGGCAGCAGUGGGGAAUAUUGCACAAUGGGCGGAAGCCUGAUGCGGCAACGCCGCGUGCGGGAUGACGGCCUUCGGGUUGUAAACCGCUUUCGCCUGUGACGAAGCGUGAGUGACGGUAAUGGGUAAAGAAGCACCGGCUAACUACGUG